GCUGAAAUUCAGAAAUCGGAAAACGUUCCACAUGAGGUAUCAAGCCUGUAUUUGCGUGUUCCUGCAUCUGUGCCAUCCUGUGAAGAAACCGAUUCAGAUUCAGAAUCAGUAGAGACGAAAGAACUUCAUAAAUCUUUUGAAAACACCUUUAUUAUUCCACCACUAACUGUAACAUCUAGCACUACCUGUUCUUCAGGAUCUUCAGAUGGCGGAGAGAACCUGGGAGGGAAAAUUAUAAGAGAAAAGGUUCACCAUGAGUCUGAAACCUCUCUAUCCAUUAGAGUCACAACAGAAUUUUCUGAGACUGGGGAUUCUGAAAGCGCUACUUUUGCAGGUACUGGGAGCAAAGUGGUACAUGAGGAACUACCUAACAUAGAAAAAAAAGAAUCUGCAAUAGAAUAUCUGCCAGAACCACCAAUACAGGAAUCGUAUUCUAGGACUGAAGUUUCUG